rnacentral:rRNA from 1 species
UGAAUUUAGCGGCCGSGAAUUCGCCYUUCCCCGUCCAAUUCAUUUGAGUUUUASCCUUGCGGCCGUACUCCCCAGGCGGGGAACUUAAUGCGUUAGCUACGGCACCGACGACGUGGAAUGUCGCCAACACCUAGUUCCCAACGUUUACGGCGUGGACUACCAGGGUAUCUAAUCCUGUUCGCUCCCCACGCUUUCGCUCCUCAGCGUCAGUAAUGGCCCAGAGAUCCGCCUUCGCCACCGGUGUUCCUCCUGAUAUCUGCGCAUUUCACCGCUACACCAGGAAUUCCGAUCUCCCCUACCACACUCUAGCCUGCCCGUAUCGGAUGCAGACCCGGGGUUAAGCCCCGGGCUUUCACACCCGACGUGACAAGCCGCCUACGAGCUCUUUACGCCCAAUAAUUCCGGACAACGCUUGCGCCCUACGUAUUACCGCGGCUGCUGGCACGUAGUUAGCCGGCGCUUCUUCUGCAGGUACCGUCACUUUCGCUUCUUCCCUGCUGAAAGAGGUUUACAACCCGAAGGCCGUCAUCCCUCACGCGGCGUCGCUGCAUCAGGCUUUCGCCCAUUGUGCAAUAUUCCCCACUGCUGCCUCCCGUAGGAGUCUGGGCCGUGUCUCAGUCCCAGUGUGGCCGGUCGCCCUCUCAGGCCGGCUACCCGUCGUCGCCUUGGUAGGCCAUUACCCCACCAACAAGCUGAUAGGCCGCGGGCUCAUCCUUCACCGCCGGAGCUUUUAACCAGCUCCCAUGCGGAAGCCGGUGUUAUCCGGUAUUAGACCCCGUUUCCAGGGCUUGUCCCAGAGUGAAGGGCAGAUUGCCCACGUGUUACUCACCCGUUCGCCACUAAUCCACCCCGAAGGGCUUCAUCGUUCGACUUGCAUGUGUUAAGCACGCCGCCAGCGUUCGUCCUGAGCCAGAUCAAACUCU